rnacentral:rRNA from 1 species
AAUGAACGCUGGCGGCAGGCCUAAAACAUGCAAGUCGAGCGAGCGGCGGACGGGUGAGUAAUGGCUGGGAAACUGCCUGAUAGAGGGGGAUAACUACUGGAAACGGUAGCUAAUACCGCAUACCAUCAGCUGUGCCCAGAUGGGAUUAGCUAGUAGGUGGGGUCACGGCCCAACUAGGGGACGAUCCCUAGCUGGUCUGAGCGGAUGACCAGCCACACUGGAAUUGAGCCACGGUCCAGACUCCUACGGGAGGCAGCAGUUGGGAAUAUUGUACAAUGGACGAAAGCCUGACGCAGCCAUGCCGCGUGUGUGAAGAAGGUCUUCGGGUUGUAAAGCACUUUCAUCGGGGAGGCGUUACCCGAAGAGGAAGCACCGGCUAACUACGUGCCAGCCGCCGCGGUAAUAC